GAUGAAGAACGCAGCGAAAUGCGAUAAGUAAUGUGAAUUGCAGAAUUCAGUGAAUCAUCGAAUCUUUGAACGCACCUUGCGCUCUUUGGUAUUCCGAAGAGCAUGCCUGUUUGAGUGUCAUGAAAAUAUCAACCUUGACUUGGGUUUUGUGCUCUAGUCUCGGCCUGGAAUUGGGUGCUUGCCGCUUUUACGAGCGGCUCACCUUAAAUGUAUUAGCUGGAUCUGUCUUUGAGACUUGGUUUGACUUGGCGUAAUAAGUAUUUCGCUAAGGACAUUCUUCGGAGUGGCCUCGUUUCUAGGACGCUUGUCCGCUUUCCAAUACAAGUUCCACCUCGUGGACAUGACUUUUUAUUAUCUGGCUUCAAAUCAGGUAGGACUACCCGCUGAACUUAAGCAUAUCAAUAACGGAGGA
rnacentral:misc_RNA from 1 species